GUGUUUGCUUAGGAACCUCCUCUAUUAAAAUCAGAACAAUACAGAGAAGAUUCCCAUGGAUGCGGCAAAAAGAGGACGUGCAAAUUCUUGAAAGAUUCCAUUUUUUU